GAUGAACGCUAGCGGCAGGCUUAAUACAUGCAAGUCGAGGGGCAGCGGGGGUAGCAAUACCUGCCGGCGACCGGCAAACGGGUGCGGAACACGUACAGAACCUUCCUUUAAGUGGGGGAUAGCCCGAAGAAAUUCGGAUUAAUACCCCGUAACAUUGUGUAGUGGCAUCACUAUAUAAUUAUAGAUUUAUCGCUUAGAGAUGGCUGUGCGGCUGAUUAGGUAGUUGGUGGAGGUAACGGCNCACCAAGCCUUCGAUCAGUAACUGGUGUGAGAGCACGACCAGUCACACGGGCACUGAGACACGGGCCCGACUCCUACGGGAGGCAGCAGUAAGGAAUAUUGGGCAAUGGACGCAAGUCUGACCCAGCCAUGCCGCGUGAAGGAUGAAGGUCCUCUGGAUUGUUAAACUUCUUUUAUAGGGAAGAAACCCUAUUUUUCUAAAGUGUUGACGUACCCUAGAAUAAGCACCGGCUAACUCCGUGCCAGCCGCCGC
rnacentral:rRNA from 1 species